AUGGUUACGCGUCUCCGGGUCGAGGGUGAUCAGGAAUGCUCUGACCCCAGGUGGAGGCUCACCAUUGCACCUCGGUGAGUUGAAACUCGCGACGAAACCUAAUCGGUUGUGCUCUGGCGUAUAGUUUUUGUCAGUGAGGAGGUCUCACAGCCCUCCCUUU
rfam:Schistosoma haematobium scaffold375_6, whole genome shotgun sequence.